rnacentral:rRNA from 1 species
CCUACGGGUGGCAGCAGUGAGGAAUAUUGGUCAAUGGGCGUAAGCCUGAACCAGCCAAGUCGCGUGAGGGAUGAAGGUUCUAUGGAUCGUAAACCUCUUUUAUAAGGGAAUAAAGUGCGGGACGUGUCCCAUUUUGUAUGUACCUUAUGAAUAAGGAUCGGCUAACUCCGUGCCAGCAGCCGCGGUAAUACGGAGGAUCCGAGCGUUAUCCGGAUUUAUUGGGUUUAAAGGGUGCGUAGGCGGCCUUUUAAGUCAGCGGUGAACGUCUGUGUCUCAACCAUAGACUUGCCGUUGAAACUGGGAGGCUUGAGUAGGUUUGAGGCAGGCUGAAUGCGUGGUGUAGCGGUGAAAUGCGUAGAGAGAACGCAGAACCCCGAGUGCGAAGGCAGCCUGCCAAGCCAUGACUGACGCUGAUGCACGAAAGCGUGGGGAUCAAACAGGAUUAGAUACCCGGGUAGUC